AAUUCGCCCUUGAGCACGUAGGUGGGUUUGUAAGUCAGAUGUGAAAGCCUUCUGUUCAACGGAAGAAUUGCAUCUGAAACUACAAGUCUUGAGUGUAGGAGGGGAGAAUGGAACUUCUGGUGGAGCGGUGAAAUCCGUAGAUAUCAGAAGGAACGCCGGCGGCGAAAGCGAUUCUCUGGCCUAUUACUGACACUCAGUGUGCGAAAGCUAGGGGAGCAAACGGGAUUAGAUACCCCGGUAGUCCUAGCCGUAAACGAUGGGCACUAAGUAGAGGGGAUUACCGACGUUCUCUCUGCCGUAGCUAACGCAUUAAGUGCCCCGCCUGGGGAGUACGGCCGCAAGGCUAAAACUCAAAAGAAUUGACGGGGGCUCGCACAAGCGGUGGAGCAUGUGGCUUAAUUCGAUGCAACGCGAAGAACCUUACCGGGGCUUGACAUGGUAGAAGUAGGAACCCGAAAGGGUAACGAACGGUAUCCAGUCCGUGACUAUCACAGGUGUUGCAUGGCUGUCGUCAGCUCGUGUCGUGAGACGUUGGGUUAAGUCCCCUAACGAGCGAAACCCUUGUUUUUAGUUACCAGCGGGUUAUGCCGGGUACUCUAGAAAGACUGCCGUCGUCAAGACGGAGGAAGGUGGGGAUGACGUCGAGUCAUCAUGGCUCUUAUGCCCCGGGCUGCACACGCGCUACAAUGGUCGGUACAAACGGAAGCGAAGCCGAGAGGUGAAGCGAAUCCAAGGGCGAAUU
rnacentral:rRNA from 1 species